rnacentral:rRNA from 1 species
GAUGAACGCUGGCGGCGUGCCUAAUACAUGCAAGUCGAGCGGACGGACGAGAAUCUUGCUUCUCUGAUGUUAGCCGCGGACGGGUGAGUAACACGUGGAUAACCUACCUAUAAGACUGGGAUAACUUCGGGACACCGGAGCUUAUACCGGAUAAUAUUUUGAACCGCAUGGUUCAAAAGUGAAAGACGGUCUUGCUGUCACUUAUAGAUGGAUCUCGGCUGCAUUAGCUAGUUGGUAAGGUAACAGCUUACCAAGGCAACGAUGCAUAGCCGACCGCAGUGGGUGAUCGGCCACACUGGAACGGGGACACGGUCCUGACUCCUACGGUAGGGAGCAGUAGGGAAUGGGCCGCAAUGGGCGAAAGCCUGACGGAGCAACGCCGCGUCAGUGAUGAAGGUGUUCGGAUCGUAAUACUCUGUUACUAGGGAAGAACAGAUGUGUAAGUAACUGUGCACAUCGUGACGGUACUGAAUCAGAAAGCCACGGCUAACUACGUG